rnacentral:lncRNA from 1 species
ACUAGGGAUGUCAAUGGGUGGGUUUUACCCGGACCAGAACCAGAACCGUUCAUUACCCGUUGAGCUAUAAGCAAUGGUUCUGGUUCUGGUUCUAGACCCGACCCAUUUAGACCCUAAACCUGACGGGUCCAGAUCCGACCCGACCCGUUUGUUAUGGGUCCAGUCCGACCCGACCUGUUUUGCCGCUAACCCACCACCACCCACCCCUCCAUUUUUUUUUUUU